UCCGAGUUGACCCCGGCAGUCUCCUAUGAGUCCCCACCAUGACGUGCUGGCAACAUAGGACGAGGGUUGCGCUCGUUGCGGGACUUAACCCAACAUCUCACGACACGAGCUGACGACAACCAUGCACCACCUGUAUACCGCCCUUGCGGACCCCAUGUCUCCAUGAGUUUUCGGUAUAUGUCAAGCCUUGGUAAGGUUCUUCGCGUUGCAUCGAAUUAAUCCGCAUGCUCCGCCGCUUGUGCGGGCCCCCGUCAAUUCCUUUGAGUUUUAGCCUUGCGGCCGUACUCCCCAGGCGGGGCACUUAAUGCGUUAGCUGCGGCACGGAACUCGUGGAAUGAGCCCCACACCUAGUGCCCAACGUUUACGGCAUGGACUAC
rnacentral:misc_RNA from 1 species